GACGAACGCUGGCGGCGUGCCUAAUACAUGCAAGUAGAACGCUGAAGGGAGAGCUUGCUCUUCUGGAUGAGUUGCGAACGGGUGAGUAACGCGUAGGUAACCUGCCUGGUAGCGGGGGAUAACUAUUGGAAACGAUAGCUAAUACCGCAUAACAUUGACUAUUGCAUGAUAGUCAAUUAAAAGGUGCAAAUGCACCACUACCAGAUGGACCUGCGUUGUAUUAGCUAGUUGGUGGGGUAACGGCUCACCAAGGCGACGAUACAUAGCCGACCUGAGAGGGUGAUCGGCCACACUGGGACUGAGACACGGCCCAGACUCCUACGGGAGGCAGCAGUAGGGAAUCUUCGGCAAUGGACGGAAGUCUGACCGAGCAACGCCGCGUGAGUGAAGAAGGUUUUCGGAUCGUAAAGCUCUGUUGUAAGAGAAGAACGAGUGUGA
rnacentral:rRNA from 1 species